UAAAUUUUAGUGUAAAGUUUAGAAUGGAUUCCUAAAAUUCUACAAACGAAGAAGGCCGAUAAUUUGUCGAAAGUUGAUUGUUUUUUUUUGUUUUUACUGGAAAACAUGAUAGUUGCCGAAUUAUACUUAAAUAUUUUAGGUAUUUUUAUAUAAGUGUACUUGAAGAACUGAAUCAUCUUAGUAUUCAAAGGAACAGUGUAUAACAAUUAAGUAUCUUAGUAGCGGCGAGCGAACAGGUUUGUUAUUAAAAAAUGUUUUUAUAAAGUAGAAAUAUAAGUUUAAUUUGUUGUAUUGUUUACAGUACAAUAAAUAGGUUUUGUAUUUUUUUUUAUACAUUAGUUGGUGCAUAUAUGUAAUGUACGGUGAGUAAAUAUUUUGCCGGGUUUAAAACUGUUUAGUACCAUCUGAAAAAUGUUUUUAAUAUUGUAGGAUUUUAUAGAGAACUAGUAUCGUGAGAGAAAGGUGAAACAGAUUUUUGAGUAAAAAUAGUGAAAAGAACAUGAAAUUGUAAACUUUAUUAAGUUUAUUUGUUUUAAAUUAAAAUGAAUUUUAAGGUAUUAGUUUAAGUAAAUGCUUGUUGAAGAAUGAGUCGGUGAGUUAUGAUUAAUGGAAAAAUAUGUAUUAAAAAUUUGAAUUUGUAAUAAGAGUUAACACGAGUUUUAGGUUCUAUUAAAGAAGCGUGUUUUAGUUUUUUGUUGAUCAUAGAUCCGAACCCAAAUGAUCUAAUUAUGUAUAGGAGGAGCGUUAGUGCUUCGUCUGAACUAGUUAAUGUUGCAAAAUUAUUAGAUAAUAUGUAAUUAGAGGUGAAAUGCUAAUCGAAUUUGGAGCUAGCUGAUUCUCUCUGAAAUGUAUUUAGGUACAGAUAGAUAUUUAAAUCAAAAGGUAAGGCUCUAUUUAGUGCCCGUAAAGAUUUACAUGUUUUUAUAGGUAUUUAGUAAACCAUAAAUUGUUGAUUUAUAUAAAAACGGGUUUUUUUUAUAUAAUUUUAUGAAUAUUAAAUUGAGACUAUUAGGGUCAAGCUUAAUAGGUCUAAAGGGAAACAGCCCAGAUUAUUUAAUAAGGUCCUAAAAUAUAUGUUUAGUUUAAGAUUGUUUAGUUAUUAUUACAGCUAAAAUAUAGGCUUAGAAGCAGCAAUUAUUUAAAGAGUGCGUAACAGCUCAUUAGUAUAGUGAUUAAAUAUCGAAAAUAAUCAGGUAUAAAUAUAUAACCGAAAUAGUAAAAAAAAAUAUACAUUAUUGUAUUUUUUUUUGGUAAGAGAGCGUUUUAUUUAAAAGUUUUGAUGUGGGUUUAUACGUUAGUAUAAAUUUACUCUAUUAGAUAAAAGUGAUAAUGCCGAUUUAAGUAAUAUAUAUUAGAUGUAUAAUCUAAUACUCCUAUUGUUUAUAGAGUUCCUAUUAAUUGAGUGGGUCAAAUAGGGUUAGUCGAAGCCUAAAAAUAAGCUUUUAUGUGUAUUUGAUGGGUAUAAGAUUAAUAUUUCUUAACCACACUUUUAAAGGUUUAAAAGAAUCUUAAGAUUUAAUUUUUGGUGUACGCCCAGAUAUGUUAGUUUGUGUUAUGUUUUUAGCUUGUCUACAGGCACAGAUUUUGUUUAUUUUGGUUUUUGAACAGGCCUAAAUAGGUAUAUAAAAUGAGCGAGGUUUGGUAACUAACACAAAAGACGGCGAAAAUGUAAGUAAGUGUACAUAAAAAUUGAGUUGGAAAAGUUUAAGUCUUUUGUUGUAGGCCUUAUUUAUUAGUGUGUUCGUAUUAAAUCUGACUCUAGUGAACAAGUAGAAAAAUAUACUAAGGGGUUGAAUAAAUUUUCUUUAAGGAACUAGGCAAAAUUAUUCUGUAACUUAGGGAUAAAGAAUGCUGUAUAGCGUAACAUACUUGGCUCAAACGACUGUUUAUCAAAAACACAGGUUCUUGCUAAAUGUAAUUAUGAUGUAUAAGAGCUGACGCCUGCCCAGUUCCGGAAAGUUAAGGUAAGACGCUUAAUUAAAGGUGUUUUUUUAAGCUCCGGUUAAACGGCGGCUGUAUUCAUAACGGUCCAAAGGUAGCGAAAUUCCUUGUCGGGUAAGUUCCGACCUGCAUGAAAGGCGUAACGAUUUGAGCGCUGUCUUAAAGAAAAAUUCAAUGAAAUAAUAAUGUCUGUGAAGAUACGGACUAUUUACACCAGGACAGAAAGACCCUAUGAAGCUUUACUGUAUUUUAUAAAUGUAAGAACAUAUUGAUAUACAGAGAAUAGAUGGUUAGGAGUCUUAAAACAAUUCUUGAUAUAUGAAAUACCAUUUUUUCAGUAUUAGUAUUUCUCAUGGUUAAAAUAUAAUAAUUUAACUAAAUUUUUUUAGAUUGAUAGUUUGACUGGGGCGGUCCCCUCCUAAAUAGUAACGGAGGCGAACAAAGGUUAUUUGUUGCCGUCUAUUAAGACGUCAAAGAUAGUUGAAAGACUUGUAAUAGCUUAAUUGUUAAAUGAGACGUAUUAUACAUUAACGAAAGUUUGUCUUAUUGACCCGAUAAAACAAUACAAAUGGUAGUGUUAUCGAUAAACGGAUAAAAGUUACUCUAGGGAUAACAGGCUGAUCUCUCCUAAGAGUCCACAUUGACGGGGAGGUUUGGCACCUCGAUGUCGGCUUAUCGCAUCCUGGGGCUGAAGACGGUCCCAAGGGUUGGUUUGUUCACCCAUUAAAGCGGUACGUGAGCUGGGUUCAAAACGUCGCAAGACAGUUUGGUCCAUAUCCGGUGUAAAUUUGAAGAACAUUGCGAUGAUUUUUUUUAGUACGUAAGGAUUAGAAAAACUAUAUCAAUGGUGUACUAGUUAUUUACUUUUUGGAUAGGUUUUAUGUAGGUAAAUUAUUAGGUAGCUAAAUAUGGGAAGGAUAUAAUUGCUGAAAGCAUAUAAGCAAAAAUAUUAAUUUAAAAAUGUUCUUGGAAGGGGUUUUUUUAUUAGGUUUAGACUCUAAAUAAAAUUUACC
rnacentral:rRNA from 1 species